UCUUUUACGUGCCGUGUAAAACUUGAGGG
rnacentral:piRNA from 1 species